rnacentral:rRNA from 1 species
GAAUCCGCCAAGGAGUGUGUAACAACUCACCUGCCGAAUGAAUUAGCCCUGAAAAUGGAUGGCGCUAAAGCGGGUAGCCGACACCAUGCCGUCUGUUUAAUAGAUAACAGAUGAGUAGGAGGGCGUGGUGGCCGUAUCGAAGCAUGCGUGCGAACGCGUGUGGAACGGCCACUAGUGCAGAUCUUGGUGGUAGUAGCAAAUAUUCAAGCGAGAUCCUUGAAGGGCGAAGCGGGGAAGGGUUCCACGCGAACAUUGAUUGGGCGUGGGUGAGUCGUUCCUAAGCCGAGUGGCCAUUGCUAAAUAGUCGGCGAAAGGGAAGCGGGUUGAAAUUCCCGCACACGGAUGUGGAGGCGGCGACGCUUUAUUGAGACGAAGACGCUGGCGGUGGCGCUGGGCARAGAUGUCUUUUCUGUUUAACCAUUAUCAAGCUGUGUGGAAUCCGCUUGUCGGGAGAAACACGCCUGAAAGGGAAGAGCGCCGGGCUUUUUCCGGCGUCCAGCUCGCCACCGACGGCCCUUGAAAAUUUGUCUGAUGGUAAAAUCCACGCCGUGGCGUACCGAUAACCGCAUCAGGUCCCCAAGGUGAACAGCCUCUGUCCMAUAUGAACAAUGCAGGUAAGGGAAGUCGGCA